ACGCCAGUAGCUCAAUUGGCAGAGCAGCGGAUUCCAAAUCCGCAGGUUGAGUGUUCAAGUCACUCCUGGCGUG
rnacentral:tRNA from 1 species